rnacentral:rRNA from 1 species
UGGGGAAACCCAGUGUGACUCGUCACACUAUCAUUAACUGAAUCCAUAGGUUAAUGAGGCGAACCGGGGGAACUGAAACAUCUAAGUACCCCGAGGAAAAGAAAUCAACCGAGAUUCCCCCAGUAGCGGCGAGCGAACGGGGAGGAGCCCAGAGCCUGAAUCAGCAUGUGUGUUAGUGGAAGCGUCUGGAAAGGCGCGCGAUACAGGGUGACAGCCCCGUACACAAAAGCGCAUGUGCUGUGAGCUCGAUGAGUAGGGCGGGACACGUGGUAUCCUGUCUGAAUAUGGGGGGACCAUCCUCCAAGGCUAAAUACUCCUGACUGACCGAUAGUGAACCAGUACCGUGAGGGAAAGGCGAAAAGAACCCCGGCGAGGGGAGUGAAAAAGAACCUGAAACCGUGUACGUACAAGCAGUGGGAGCACAGGUUUACCUGUGUGACUGCGUACCUUUUGUAUAAUGGGUCAGCGACUUAUAUUCUGUAGCAAGGUUAACCGUAUAGGGGAGCCGUAGGGAAACCGAGUCUUAACCGGGCGUUAAGUUGCAGGGUAUAGACCCGAAACCCGGUGAUCUAGCCAUGGGCAGGUUGAAGGUUGGGUAACACUAACUGGAGGACCGAACCGACUAAUGUUGAAAAAUUAGCGGAUGACCUGUGGCUGGGGGUGAAAGGCCAAUCAAACCGGGAGAUAGCUGGUUCUCCCCGAAAGCUAUUUAGGUAGCGCCUCGUGAAUUCAUCUCCGGGGGUAGAGCACUGUUUCGGCUAGGGGGCCAUCCCGGCUUACCAACCCGAUGCAAACUGCGAAUACCGGAGAAUGUUAUCACGGGAGACACACGGCGGGUGCUAACGUCCGUCGUGAAGAGGGAAACAACCCAGACCGCCAGCUAAGGUCCCAAAGUCAUGGUUAAGUGGGAAACGAUGUGGGAAGGCCCAGACAGCCAGGAUGUUGGCUUAGAAGCAGCCAUCAUUUAAAGAAAGCGUAAUAGCUCACUGGUCGAGUCGGCCUGCGCGGAAGAUGUAACGGGGCUAAACCAUGCACCGAAGCUGCGGCAGCGACGCUGAUGCGUUGUUGGGUAGGGGAGCGUUCUGUAAGCCUGUGAAGGUGGCCUGUGAGGGUUGCUGGAGGUAUCAGAAGUGCGAAUGCUGACAUAAGUAACGAUAAAGCGGGUGAAAAGCCCGCUCGCCGGAAGACCAAGGGUUCCUGUCCAACGUUAAUCGGGGCAGGGUGAGUCGACCCCUAAGGCGAGGCCGAAAGGCGUAGUCGAUGGGAAACGGGUUAAUAUUCCCGUACUUGGUGUUACUGCGAAGGGGGGACGGAGAAGGCUAUGUUGGCCGGGCGACGGUUGUCCCGGUUUAAGCGUGUAGGUGUGUGUUCCAGGUAAAUCCGGUUCACUUUAACACUGAGGCGUGAUGACGAGGCACUACGGUGCUGAAGCAACAAAUGCCCUGCUUCCAGGAAAAGCCUCUAAGCAUCAGGUAACAUCAAAUCGUACCCCAAACCGACACAGGUGGUCAGGUAGAGAAUACCAAGGCGCUUGAGAGAACUCGGGUGAAGGAACUAGGCAAAAUGGUGCCGUAACUUCGGGAGAAGGCACGCUGACACGUAGGUGAAGUGAUUUACUCAUGGAGCUGAAGUCAGUCGAAGAUACCAGCUGGCUGCAACUGUUUAUUAAAAACACAGCACUGUGCAAACACGAAAGUGGACGUAUACGGUGUGACGCCUGCCCGGUGCCGGAAGGUUAAUUGAUGGGGUCAGCGCAAGCGAAGCUCCUGAUCGAAGCCCCGGUAAACGGCGGCCGUAACUAUAACGGUCCUAAGGUAGCGAAAUUCCUUGUCGGGUAAGUUCCGACCUGCACGAAUGGCGUAAUGAUGGCCAGGCUGUCUCCACCCGAGACUCAGUGAAAUUGAACUCGCUGUGAAGAUGCAGUGUACCCGCGGCAAGACGGAAAGACCCCGUGAACCUUUACUAUAGCUUGACACUGAACAUUGAGCCUUGAUGUGUAGGAUAGGUGGGAGGCUUUGAAGCGUGGACGCCAGUCUGCAUGGAGCCGGCCUUGAAAUACCACCCUUUAAUGUUUGAUGUUCUAACGUGGACCCGUGAUCCGGGUUGCGGACAGUGUCUGGUGGGUAGUUUGACUGGGGCGGUCUCCUCCUAAAGAGUAACGGAGGAGCACGAAGGUUGGCUAAUCCUGGUCGGACAUCAGGAGGUUAGUGCAAUGGCAUAAGCCAGCUUGACUGCGAGCGUGACGGCGCGAGCAGGUGCGAAAGCAGGUCAUAGUGAUCCGGUGGUUCUGAAUGGAAGGGCCAUCGCUCAACGGAUAAAAGGUACUCCGGGGAUAACAGGCUGAUACCGCCCAAGAGUUCAUAUCGACGGCGGUGUUUGGCACCUCGAUGUCGGCUCAUCACAUCCUGGGGCUGAAGUAGGUCCCAAGGGUAUGGCUGUUCGCCAUUUAAAGUGGUACGCGAGCUGGGUUUAGAACGUCGUGAGACAGUUCGGUCCCUAUCUGCCGUGGGCGCUGGAGAACUGAGGGGGGCUGCUCCUAGUACGAGAGGACCGGAGUGGACGCAUCACUGGUGUUCGGGUUGUCAUGCCAAUGGCACUGCCCGGUAGCUAAAUGCGGAAGAGAUAAGUGCUGAAAGCAUCUAAGCACGAAACUUGCCCCGAGAUGAGUUCUCCCUGAGACUUAGAGUCUCCUGAAGGAACGUUGAAGACGACGACGUUGAUAGGCCGGGUGUGUAAGCGCAGCGAUGCGUUGAGCUAACCGGUACUAAUGAACCGUGAGGCUUAACCUUACAACGCCGAAG